AGAACGAACGCUGGCGGCAUGCCUAAUACAUGCAAGUCGAACGAACACUUCGGUGUUAGUGGCGCACGGGUGCGUAACGCGUGGGAAUCUGCCCUUGGGUUCGGAAUAACAGUUGGAAACGACUGCUAAUACCGGAUGAUAUCGAAAGAUCAAAGAUUUAUCGCCCAGGGAUGAGCCCGCGUAGGAUUAGCUAGUUGGUGAGGUAAAGGCUCACCAAGGCGACGAUCCUUAGCUGGUCUGAGAGGAUGAUCAGCCACACGUGGGACUGAGACACGGCCCAGACUCCUACGGGAGCAGCAGUAGGGAAUAUGGACAAUGGGCGCAAGCCUGAUCCAGCCAUACCGCGUGGGUGAAGAGGCCUUGGUUAGUAAAGUCCCUUUUAGGUGGGAAAGUAAUCCUAGGUACCGGUUAAUAACCGAGGUAA
rnacentral:rRNA from 1 species